rnacentral:lncRNA from 1 species
UGAAUUCAGUGGAACCAUCACACAAAAGCACACAAAGACCUCCUCCUCCACAGGGGAGACAGAGGUGUGACUGAAGAAAUAUCAAAUGUUUCCUAGUAAGACAGCAACUCAGAGAAAGAGUUUUGAAGAAAACUGGGCAUAGGCUCAGCAAAACCAAACAGAAGAGGAACAGAAAAAGAAACAAAAAGCAGAACAGUCAGAAUAGAAUCAUGGAGGAAAACUCAUUAGAAUUCUUAAGUGAUCUUACACCGGGAGAUCAGGACCCAUCUCAGA